rnacentral:rRNA from 1 species
AGAGUUUGAUCCUGGCUCAGGAUGAACGCUAGCGGCAGGCCUAAUACAUGCAAGUCGAGGGGUAGCAAGAUUGUAGCAAUACAAUUGUUGACGACCGGCAAACGGGUGCGGAACACGUACACAACCUUCCUACAGGUGGGGAAUAGCCCAGAGAAAUUUGGAUUAAUACCCCGUAACAUAGCGAUGUGGCAUCACAUUGCUAUUAUAGCUUCGGCGCUUGUUGAUGGGUGUGCGGCUGAUUAGAUAGUUGGCGGGGUAACGGCCCACCAAGUCUACGAUCAGUAGCUGAUGUGAGAGCAUGAUCAGCCACACGGGCACUGAGACACGGGCCCGACUCCUACGGGAGGCAGCAGUAAGGAAUAUUGGACAAUGGACGCAAGUCUGAUCCAGCCAUGCCGCGUGAAGGAUUAAGGUCCUCUGGAUUGUAAACUUCUUUUAUAAGGGACGAAAAAAGGUCUUUCUAGAUCGUCUGACGGUACCUUAUGAAUAAGCACCGGCUAACUCCGUGCCAGCAGCCGCGGUAAUACGGAGGGUGCAAGCGUUAUCCGGAUUCACUGGGUUUAAAGGGUGCGUAGGCGGGCAGGUAAGUCAGUGGUGAAAUCCUAGAGCUUAACUCUAGAACUGCCAUUGAUACUAUCUGUCUUGAAUAUUGUGGAGGUAAGCGGAAUAUGUCAUGUAGCGGUGAAAUGCGUAGA